rnacentral:ncRNA from 2 species
CGCUGCAGUACGGGAGAGCGUCAUCUCGAAUGGCCGCCGAAGGAGCAACACCUCCUCGUCAAACUCUCAGGCACCCGGACCGUACUGUCGAC